AUAUCAAGCAUGUAUGUGUGUGUGUGUCUAUAUAUAUAUAUAUACACAGAGUCCUUCCAAUGAGGGAUCCCUAUUUUUUGCCAACUUGAGGGACACGCUCGCAGCCGUUGGAUCUGUUUUAAUGACCUUGGAUGGCUGAGAUCAAGUUAAGUGAUUUACCCCAUUCUAAACUAUAUCACCCGAGUUCCAGAACUACCCAAUUCUCUCUGUCUCUCACGAGUAUCAACGCUCAGAGAAUUCACCGAUUCGCAUCUCAAGCACAUCUCUUGCUUCAAAUUCUCUAGAAAUCAGCCCAUCAAUCCAGAUUCCAGAGCAAUCCCACCGGCCACCGCCAUUGAUUGGAAGAGAUGUUCUCGGAGCUGCAAGGAUAGGGUCCGGGAAGACCGGAAGACUCUUGCUUUUCUAGUACCAGCUAUGGAGUUGUCAUAUAAACAUAUCCUAUGUUUGUCCCCUCCUAAAGUCUUGAUCAGAAGAAAGAAAAUGCAUACAGAUUGAAACUUUCAUGGAAGGGUUUUUGUACUUUGAUUGAGAAGCUGCUAAAGUUUCCAGCUCCAAUGGUGCCCAACCAAGCAAUGUGAAACUUUAGCAAAUCUUUUUCAUUCUUGCCUUAUGAUCCGUUGAGCAAUGAGGAGAGCCAUGUUGGAUACGUGCUGAAGAGGAUGAAGAAGCCAGCCAAACACCCCUUACCAUUGAUGUUGUCACUAUCUGUUUUCCUAUUUGUUGUAUCAAUACAAUUCAUGUUUCUUUAUUAUGCAAUUCUAGUCUCUUGUUGGUCUCAAAAUGGCUAUUAAUGCUCAUUAUCAAAUGUUACUCUGUAGUUGAGAUUGGAAAGUAAUGUUCUGAACUAGUGUAUGUAUUUUUUAAAAUAAAUAUAUGUGAUCGUUUCUAUCUGUCAA